rnacentral:sRNA from 1 species
GAUAUCAGGGUCAAAAGCCUGGCUCCACGGCAAGCUUGCUUGCCGGUGGAGGUUUGGCUUAUUGACCCGCCCUUACAUGAGCAAGUAGUGGGGUGGGGGCCCUACGGAUUGCGAAUGGAGGACGGAUCGUGGGAGUGCAAAGCACGGAACAAUCCGUGAUA